GUCGAAACUGGGACUGUCACGUUGCACUGAGCAAGUGACUGGAGAGCGUUUCUCCCGAAUGGAAAAACCUGCCUUUCAAGUUACAUAGCUUUGGGUUUGCCGACUAAAAGUUUUAGUGAAAUGUUGACAGCAUACCUAUCCCUGCCUAAGCUAUAGCAUGAGAAUGCAUGGAAUAGAUGGCAUGAAAUGAUAAAAAGAUACCAAUAAGACAAAGCAGAAGAUUCCCGAAUUUCAUAUCAGCUGACAAUAAGGGAAGAGGUGUUCUGGUCAAGACCAGGGGAAAUUAUUUUCCAUACGAUUUUGUGUGAUAGUGCUGUUGAUGCAGGUGUGACUGAACAAGAAAUGGUGUUUUGUAGAGUCUUGGAUAUUGUUUACCCUAGAAACCUUUCUCAUAGCAGACAAGUUCUGGAACAUUAUUUUCUUCAAGUAUUAUACAGGAUGGGCUUUGAUCCAAAAGACUUCCAUUGAGAGUGGCCUGCCUUUAAAGAGCACAUAGGUGGCAUGUUUAUAGUGAAUAAAAGUAAAGAUAUGUGUACUGAUUUGUUUCCAAGGCUAGGAGACCAGACAAAGAUUAGAAUACAUACAAUAAUGCUAAUUGAAAUUGCCUUGUUCAGCCUGUCCACUUCUCAGGUGGAGAGAGGAUACAGUGCUCUCAAAAGAAUCGAAUCUGACUGGAGGUCAAGUUUGGGGAAUAUUAUGCUUAAGUUAACAAAAUUUUGACAGCAGUUUUAUAGGGGCCAGGUUUUGAUGAUCAUUUAGUCAAGGAAUCUAUCAACCACUGGGUGGCAGGGUGGCACUCUGGGAAAACGGCCCAAUUUUGAACUUGAAAAUUGAUUUUGUUUUCUGAUUGUCAUAUCCAGGUAAAUGACCUGGCAAUUGAAGAUUCU